rnacentral:lncRNA from 1 species
ACCUAGGAUUUGGGCUGACUUAGUAAUUAAAACUUUGUGUGCUUUUGAAAUUCUUGGCAUUUAUGCAUUUGAAAUUAGAUUUUAUAAAACAGUAAAAUAAAUUCUUUAGGUAGCGACAGCAGUUUGUGGGUAUCUGAGCCGGAAACCCUCACGAGAUAAAACUCGUCCACUAGGGCCACCUAGGGGUUUAAAGCCUUAUUGCAUACGGUAAAUGCAAUCGCGAUUCCUGCGAAAGUGAGUUAAUUUCUUUUUCUAUUUUUGCUUGAGGACUAGCAAAAUGUAGGUUGGGGGGUGUGAUAAGUGCUAAAUAAUGCAUAAAUUAAUAUCUUAUU